CUGGGCUCAGGCCCAGAGUGCCAGCUUUGCCCUAUCCCAUAGCCUGGAGCCACCACAGGAGGGGCACUCCACUCUCUUGGGCUCCUGGAGCCUCAGAGGCAGAGCCAGCCGGGAGUGCAGGAGGGAGAACUUUCCUGUGGACGUCCUGUGUUCUCCAGACGCAGAGAACCCUCAUCAACCGAGGGGGAGGUCACUUCCGAAUCCACAGAUGGCGUGUGAGUGCAUGGCGAGCGCCUCCAGGACACACUUACUGUUCCCUUGCUCUGGCCAGACGCCAGCCGGACCCUGUGUGUGCGCGCCGUGCUGCUCUUUGCAGCUGCCUGCAAGGGGUUCCUGCGAAGACCAGCACCUUGGGGAAGAGCCUGCGGCUGAACUUGAACUCGCAGCUACCUGAGUCAGACCUGUGCUUUUUCACCUCUACGGAAGAUGUCAGAGCGUUUCCCUAGCAAUGUUUUAGAAGUUACUUCUGUCUGGAAAAAAAUGGAAAAAAUGGCAAAUUAUGUUAUGUAUAAUUUGAUAAUUUUAAAGAAUUAAUGAUGUAAUUAUUACUCAAACCC
rnacentral:lncRNA from 1 species